rnacentral:rRNA from 1 species
CGGGCCCGCACAAGCAGCGGAGCGUGUGGUUUAAUUCGAUGUUACACGAAGAACCUUACCAGGGUUUGACAUGCAAGUGGUAGGAAGCCGAAAGGUCGACCGACCCUUCGGGGAGCUUGCACAGGUGCUGCAUGGCUGUCGUCAGCUCGUGUCGUGAGAUGUUCGGUUAAGUCCGCUAACGAGCGCAACCCUCGCUGUGUGUUAUAUGUGUCACACGGGACUGCCGGUCUUAAGCCGGAGGAAGGUGGGGAUGAUGUCAAGUCAGCAUGGCCUUUAUAUCCUGGGCUACACACACGCUACAAUGGCCAACACAAUAGGUUGCUAAGCCGCGAGGUGGCGCCAAUCCAUAAAGUUGGUCUCAGUUCAGAUUGUAGGCUGCAACCCGCCUGCAUGAAGAUGGAGUUGCUAGUAACCGCAGGUCAGCUAUACUGCGGUGAAUACGUUCCCGGGGCUU